UCCCGCACUCUACUUUGAAGGCGACUCCUCCUCCGCCCCGAGGUCCAGCCCCUACCUCCCGCACCAACCAGAAGAGCCCCAGGCCUCCAGCAAGCCCCACCCUGAAGGCCCCACCGCUUCCCAGUAUUACUUUGCCUUUGGCUCAGUUCCCACUGAGGAGUCCGCUGUCCUAGCCAUGGCUCGCGCUACCGGACCUGAGCGGCGGCUGCUGGCCAUCUACACUGGCGGCACCAUCGGCAUGAGGAGCGAGGGUGGUGUGCUGGUACCUGGGAAAGGCCUCGCUGCUGUCCUGAGGGCGCUUCACAUGUUCCACGAUGAGGAGUACGCCCAGGCCCACCACCUGCCCGAGGAUACACUGGUGCUGCCCCCGGCCAGUCCUGAUCAGAGGAUCCUCUACACGGUGCUGGAGUGCCAGCCACUCUUCGACUCCAGUGACAUGACCAUCACUGAGUGGGUUCAGAUUGCCCAGAUCAUAGAGAGACACUACACACAGUACCAGGGCUUUGUGGUCAUCCACGGCACGGACACCAUGGCCUUUGCCGCCUCGGUGCUGUCCUUCAUGCUGGAGAACCUGCAGAAGCCUGUGAUCCUCACCGGGGCCCAGGUACCUAUCCAUGCACUGUGGAACGAUGGCCGUGAAAACCUGCUGGGGGCUCUGCUCAUGGCUGGCCAGUACAUCAUUCCUGAGGUCUGCCUAUUCUUCCAGAAUCAGCUCUUUCGGGGCAAUCGGACAACCAAGGUGGACGCUCGGAGGUUUGCAGCCUUCUGCUCCCCCAACCUGCCCGCUCUGGCCACUGUGGGUGCAGAUAUCACAAUCAACCGCGAGCUGGUACGGAAGGCCAGCCAGAAGGACCGUCUUGUGGUGCACAGCAGUAUGGAGCGUGAUGUGGGCCUGCUGCGUCUUUACCCUGGGAUCCCUGCCUCGCUGGUCCGGACCUUCCUGCAGCCCCCACUGAAAGGGGUGGUCAUGGAGACCUUUGGCUCUGGGAAUGGGCCCACCAAGCCAGACCUACUGCAGGAGCUGCGGGUGGCAUCUGAACACGGCCUGAUCAUUGUCAACUGUACCCAUUGCCUUCAGGGGACUGUGACUUCGGACUAUGCGUCUGGCAUGGCCAUGGCAGGAGCUGGCAUUGUUUCAGGCUUUGACAUGACAUCAGAGGCUGCCCUGGCCAAACUGUCCUAUGUGCUAGGCCAGCCGGGGCUGAGCCUGGAUGACCGGAAGAAGCUGCUGGUCAAGAACCUUCGUGGGGAGAUGACACGGCCUGUGACAGAUGAGCACCAGUCCCUGCUGCAAGAUGGCAUGCUGGGCCGCCGGAUAGCAUGGCUUCUCAGUCUGAAUGGCAGCCAGGAGGCUGAUGCCAUGCAGGAUGUCCUGACGUCCAGCCUGGCCCUGGCUGCAGCUCAUGCUGGUGACCUAGACACUCUGCAGGCCUUGGUGGAGCUGGGCAGAGACCUCAACCUGAAGGACUCUAGUGGUCAAACCCCACUGCAUGUGGCUGCACGGAGGGGCCAUGCUGCCGUGGUCACCAUGCUGCUGCAGAAGGGUGUGGAUGUGAAUGCCCACAAUGAAGAUGGCCAUAGCCCACUGUUGCUGGCCGUGAGGGGCAGGCAUCAGGGCGUCAUUGGGCUGCUGCGGACCGCUGGGGCUUGCCUAUCUCCCCAGGAGCUGGAGGAUGUUGGGACAGAACUGUGCAGGCUGGCAUCCAGGGCGGACAGCGAAGGCCUGAGGGCAUGGUGGCAGGCAGGGGCUGACCUCGGACAGCUGGACUAUGAUGGACGUUGUGCCCUGCAAGUAGUGAGAGCCUCCCUCUUGUACACUAUGCUGGAGUUCUAAAGGUCCUCAGCUCCUGUCCCAGAUCCUGGAGCAGCAGUUGCCCAUCCUUUCUAGGGCUAUAUCUUCCUCAGAAUCAACCCAACCCAUGGGGCUGAAGCUGCUGGGAAUGCAGACGUGGUGGCCCUGCUACAGAGCUUCACGGACAGGGUCUGUGCCCAGCCCCAGCCCCACUAAGUCCUGGACUGGGCUGAUGUCCCCUCAGUGAGCUCCCAUUGCUCUGCAGCUGGAUCCUGGCACCUACUAUCCCAGAGUGUUCUGAGACAGCCUGAGGAGUGGACAGACACAUUGUCCCAAGUCUUUCGUGGGCUCUGGGAGGAGCGCAGUCUGAUGGAGACACAAGCCGCUGGGGCUUCAUACAGGCAAGGCUCACCUCAGUCAGACCUUCACCCUACCCAGUUUUGGGCUGGGAGACGGGGAGGGCCUAGGCCCCCCAGCUCACAUCUGUUCCCAUCGCAUUAUUUGGCGCCUCUGGAGUUUUGAGAGUGACUGGGCUAACCCUAUCUCCUGAGAACAGCUGGACUCCAUACACAGAGCGUCUGGGGUGGAGUAGGGGGAGCCCUGCCUCUAGACACAUCCUCUGUACCUGGGCCUCUAUACCUCCUCAGUAGACCUUGCUUCCUGGAAGUCCUUGGUUCUCAACCGGCCAUCCUGCUGCAGCAUGGGGUCUUCCUUACUGCCCAAGGGACCUCGGGCACAUACCAGCUGCGUCUGCUAAACUGCUUCCCAGCCUGUUGGCAUGAGCAGAGUGUCAAUAAAGUUGUGGGGACAGCU